UUUUUUUUUGGUUUAGGCAUCACUUCAGUCAUUCUGACUGGUUCUCCUAGACCCCACUUAACAGUACGGUGGUUCCUAUGACUCAACACAAAAGAAAAAGAACUACGAAAGAUCUAAGUCUUCGAGCUCCAUAGGCUUCAUAUCUUGUCUUCUUUUGUCAUAGUCUUCAAUGUGAAUAUCUUCAUAUACCACCUUUGACUUCAGUGUCUUCAUACAUUUUUAGGGGUCAUCUCUGGUAGUAAAACCGAAUCAAUGAGGGACUUCUACCUGUGUUAUCCUGCAAUUCUCACAAACACAUUAGUCCCUCAACUAGGUUUGUCGUCAAUACUCCAAAACCAACUAGGGGUGGCACUAGAUGCACUUACAAUCUCCCCCUUUUUGGUGAUUGAUGACAAACUAGUUGAAGUUUUCAACGGGGAAUAUAGUCUGUGAAGUUGUAAAGGAUAAGGAAUUGUCUUCAUAAGUUGCAAGGGCUCCCCCUGAAGAUGUGCAUAUAAGUUAAUUUGCUUUUGGAAUGCAAAUGCACAUGGCAGGUUGUACUUGUGGAGAUCCACUUCAGCUUAUGAUGACAAUCCACUAUGCAUGUGAAAGUAUAUGAAGAUAAUGACAUGCAUAAUGGAAAAUGGACGUCUGCAGAAUGAGAUAAGUGCGGAAUUUUAUCGUCGCACAUGCGGAAUUUAUCUUCGCAAAACAGGGUGGCAAACAAGUAGCAGACGACCAUCUGGUUUAAGUGUUACAACUCAUAAGAACCAAAUGUAGCAAAAACGAGAGUUGUAAACACGAAGCAAAAUAUAAGGCACCCGCCCAUAUGAACCCGCUUGAAGACUAUCAAUCUCAUAUGCUUCUCCCCCUUUUGUCAGUAAUGACCAAAAAGGUUUGAAGACAUAGAGUCGCUACUCGUUCCUAUGAGGAGUAGGUGAAGCAGCAGGGUUGUUGAUGUUGUUUGGUGAUGCAGAAGAGCUUGGAGGUGCUGAAGCAGAUGGUGGUGAAGUAGCAUCGUCUUCUUCCUCAAUGAUUCUGGCAGUGACUGUGGCAGCAGAGGAAGAAAACUGAGAGUCUUCAAGAGAUGGAGUCCCCAGCAGCACAGCUCUUCGAGGAGGUGUGGAGUCAAACUUGAAUCUCUCAGUGAAGCCAUCCUCUUGAAGAUCAGCUUCAGAAAGCAUCAUCGUUAGCCCUUUCCAUGUGCGGCGACAAGUUUCAUGGGCAACGAAAGCGUUCUUGGUGGCAAGAUUUCGGAUGCGAUUUACAUCCACCAAGAGGCUCUUCAUCUGUCUCUUCAACCAGUCAUGAUGCCUAUCCUGCUUUUUAUGAAGGGCCACAAGAAGCUCUCGGUCGUUGAGAACACGAGUGCGCUUCUUGGGUCUUGAAGCAGUGGCACUGUCAGUGGAUUCAGUUGAAGAAGGGUGUGGUGCACGUGUAGUGCCAGCCAAAGGAUACACCCUGGAGAUGGCUUCAACACCUUCAACGUUCUGAGUGAAGCUCUGGUGUUCUGCAUUCUGAAGACUCAAAGGUUGCUUGGCAGGCUCAGGAUAUAUAGCUUCAGCAGAGGUAUCCACAUCUGGCAAGAAGAUCCGAUGGUUGCGGGCUGAGGGCCGAUAUGAGAUUGCAGAGUGAAGCUUGAUCAGUCUCAUUACCCAAGGAGCAUAGAACUUCAAACCAAGUAAAUCUGAGCCUGAUGCAGCAAGUUGGCGUAUGAAGAAGUCCUGUGCGUUGAAGCAUUUGCCAUGAAAGAUACAAAAUAUCAGAGUCUUCAUUGCACCCUCGAUCUUGGCAUUUGGAGAGUGCCCUUUGAUAGGCCAGAGAGUCCGCCGGAUAAUGUGAUAGAUGGUUCUGGGCAGGUACUCAAAGUCUUCAACGAAGAACUCUAUUGGAUAAGGAGCAUCGUGGGGCAAUGGCUUCAUCAUGGAGAGCAUCUGACUCAUAUUCGGUUCAGGCCUCUGGAAUAUGCUCUCAAGAGCUUCAGUGUGUAGUGGACAGCCUUCCUCGAAGAAUUCGCCAGGAGUGGGCAGGCCGGUGAGCUCAAUGAUAUCAAAUGCAUUGGCUUCAUGAUGGACAUUGCCGGUCAUCCACUCCAGGGCCCAAGUCUUCGGAUCUCUGUUGUAUCCUUUGAUGUGGAGGGUGGCAUAGAAUUGCAGCAGAAGCUCUUCAUUCCAGUGCUCUUCAUCAGUUACAAACUGCAGCAGACCCACUUGCUUGAAGCAAUCCAAUGCUUCCUCUAAAUAGGGCAGACCAGCAAUGGCUUCAACAUCAAGGCGCUUGUGCGGGAAGAUGCGACCUUGGUUGUAUAGGAUGCAUGAAUAGUAGCUGCGCUGAGGAUAGCUCCAGAACCUAUCUGAUGAAAUCCUUUCCCUUGAAUAGGGGUUCUUAGAGCUGUUGAAGAACGUAUUAUCUGCCUUGAAGCUAUUGAUGUUAAAGGAGCCAGGUGCUGAUGCAGGACCUGGGAACCUCGGCAGCCUUGGGACUGGCUUCUGGACAUGAGGCCUGUGCUCAACAUGGUAAUCAAAUUGAGGACCUGCAGCAGACUCAGGAAUAGAAGUGUCUGGAUCAGUAGCUUCGCUGUCUUCUGAAGCUUUUGGUGGGGAGGGCUCCACAUUGGCUUCAGUGUUGGUUGUGGCAGCCUCAAUAUUUUCAGCCUCCGCUUGACUAGCUGGAGGGUCGGUCACAAGCACGUUCUCCUGGAGAACUGCUUCUUGGUGGAGCAUAGGAGUGGGCUCUUGUGGUGCUUCUUCUGCGGCUGAUGCAGCCGGAAUGUCUUCAGCAUAGACUUGAGGCCUUGGACCUUUGCGAAGCCUGCGGAAUGCAGACGACGCCUGUGGGGUUGGAGUGGGCUGGGCCUCAUUGUCUUCUUCCUCUUAAGGGCGAUCCGCCCAUGAAGCAUCCUGUGCAAUUGGCGUCAGUGGACGACCAAUGCUGAUGAGUUCACUGUGUUCUAAUUGAGGAAGGGAUGCAUCAUCUUCUACAUUGUCACGAUGACCAAUGUCUUCAGCGGCGAUGGGAUCAGCUGCUGGAAUGUCUUCAAGAACAGGAGCCUCUAUGGAAGCAGGCUCAUGCACCAUCAGUUGACGUUCUGCGUCAGGGUGAACCAUAGAAAUAGGUUCAACUAUCAAGGGCUCUAUGGGAGCAGCCCGAGAUUUCUUGGUCUUUCUCUUUUUCUUGCUGGGGGCAGUAGGAGAGGCUUCAAAGCUUUUCCUCUUCCUGGCUUCAGCCUCAGCAGUUCUUGUCUUCUUGAGCUCUGAAGCUGUUGACCGGCUCUUUGGCUUCGAGCCAGUCGUUGCAGUUGGGAAGACAAGCGGAACUGCUUCCUGCCUUGGUGCCUCUUGUUCAGCUGGAACAGUCUUCUUCUUUUUCUUUGCGGCCAUCUUGGGGUCGAUGCUAGGACGCCCAAGUGCCUUGCGCUUCUCAGCCUCAUUGUAGGCCUGCACACAUCUGUUUGCCAGAGUCUUCAUUCGCUCCCGCGAACCUUGAGCUUCUGCAUGCUUCUUCAGAAAGUUUUCCUUUAGUUCAUGCAGCAUGAUCUUGAGGCUCUUCACUUUUUGCAUGCUGAGCUUGGCCAUAUGCUUCUUGAACUGAGCCUUUUCAUGAUCAAUUUUCUGCUUCAGUUCAACAUUGCGCUGGGCAAUUGCAAGUUCUGAAGCAAUAGCGCCUUGGAAGGCGACGCUGAGGCCAACGGGCAGCUGCAGAUCUUUGAAGCUGAUGUUUGGUGUGGCAAACCAUUCAUCGAUGAAGUUGUGGAUGAUGGCGACAUCAAAGAGAGGCAAAUUGUUGAAGAUUUCAGCUUCUUCUUUGCUCUUGAUGAGCUGCUCGAGAGCGUCAUCUCCAAGAUCUUCAUCACUUGACAGAUCAAUGGCUUCGCUACGCAGAAUGGCAGCAGCUGUGAGCUCUUUGCCGGUGUGUGGCUGAGGCAUCUUGGCCUUCUGGGGCUUAGAGACGCGGGAUACGUCUUCAGACUGCACACUGUCUUCAGGAGGUGCAGUUGCCAAUGGCUUCGCCCUUCAGAUUUUUGGUGAAGGGGCCGUCUUUGAAGCUUUUGGCUUCUUCGACUGCUUUGGCUUCGGUACAGCAGGAGCUUCAUCAGACUCAGAGUCAGCUGGAGGGUCAUUCACGGCAGUCCCUUGGACUAAGAUGCGGGUGAUGAGGCCCUCAAGGUUGGCAUACGGACUGAUGAUAUUGGGUUCUGCAUCACGUGUGCCAUCUGCCCUUGGUGCGGAGGAACCAGGGUUGAAGUCUAACCCCAACUUCUUCUUGUUCAGCUUCGCUGAGUUCUGGGCAAACUGGAAGUUGCGCUUGAACAGAUUGUCGUCAUGACACCAGAGUAGUGACGACGGAUGUGCUUUAGCAGGCUGUGGUCCUCGGACCAUGCAUGGGUAGAAGCCUUGAGCAAUGGCUACAUCUCUGGUCCUGGGUAUGAGGUUCUUGUAAAGGAUGUCCCCCCACGGUCUCUUGAUGGCACUUUUCUCAGCAUACUCCUGGGUGACGAAGCGGUAUUGGAACCAUUGUUCUGCCCAAUAGCGUCGAAUCCAUUGGAUUCGGGUCUUGCGCUGACCAUAAUUCUCUUCAGGAUCUGUUUUGUACAUUUCUGCCAGUUCAUCAGGCAGAUCCUUGGAUGUUCCUCCACGUCGCUGUCUGCCCCCCUUCCUUGCUGCUAUUUCUGAAGCCAUAAACCUUAACUUGGAAGGCUUCAAGACGUUCAAAGGCUUCAAAAGCUUUCUUUUGCUGGACCAACAGGAACUGGCUUCAGGAGAAUUUAUGUGAUGCUGUAGGAAUUCUGCAAAUGAAUGCAGACUAUGAGAACCAAAGGAUUCUCCCACGGACAUGUACCUGUGACAGUAUUAAGGUGCGAGGGAAGGGGAAGAGGUCAUAUGCAUUCUCAGAAGAUUUUGAAGAUAAAUCAGUUUAGAAGACAUUGACCUCAUCGUGUGAAGACAUUCACUCAUAGAUAAGAAGUUGGUUCCAGAUUUGUACGAAUCCACAGAUCAGUACAAGUGAGGAAUCUAACUACUUUUUGAAGCACAGGUGAAUAUUCUAGGCAUGUUAUGAGAUGCAGUUUGAGAGAGAUCUAGUUUGUGUGAGCAGAAACUGCUUGUGGUAGAAAGUGACAGAUCAAUAGGAUCAAUGGUGCUGUAAAAGGCAGUUUUAUUUACCACACUGAGAACUGCUAGACGGAGCGAGAGAUGAGGCCGAGCAGUUCACUCGUCCGUGCUCUAACUUGGCGACGGAGGAGACCUACGGCGACGGCGGAGAGGAUGAUGUCCGCGGUCGGCGUGAAGACGGUGUCAGAGAGGUUGCAACAGCGAAGCGCUUCGUCGUCGGCGUCGUCGAGAGCUAGCGGUGGCGCUAGGGUUCGUGCGAGGGUGGAAGAAGAGAUAGUUACCGCUGUGAGUGUGUAUUUAUAGGCACAAGGGCGGCACUGUGCUAUUACACAGGUGCCCCUGGCGAUUCGCAUCUGAGGAACGUGUGGCCAGUUUGCGGAAGUUUGGGGUUUGUUCCACAUCCCAUGCACGCCUGGAUUGUCGGGUGGUCGUUCCUGCUUCUCCGGAUUUUAUGUGGAGGAAUGAGCAUUGAAAACGGACUUUAUAGUUGUCUCUAUAUCUUCUGCUGACAAGGACGCAGUGAAGACAUUCGACAGUUUCAAUAGAAUGCAUAUGACUUGGAGAGAUAGAGUUUGAGAUAGAAAGCAUAGAGAAGUUUGGGGUCCGAUCACAUUCACUUAGUUCAAAAGAUUCAACACGAAGACAUAGCUAUAAGUGAAUGUUGUAGAGGACAGAACACUAGCAUAUAUAUAUAUAUAUAUAUAUAUAGUCAACACAGUGAAGAUAAUCAUGAAAAUAUGUUCGAAGCCAAACCAAAUGUGAAGACAUUGCAAGGUAACGCCAUGAGAGAAACACUUCAAAAUAGAACGUUUGCUGGUUGCGUUACCCACCGUAUAGGAAGUAUUAGACCCAGACACGGCGCACAAUUAUCGUGGCACUCCGAAGUCAAAUUCCACAUUAAUGUAUUCACACUUAGAAUGUAUGUCUUCAUUGAUUGAAGAUAUACUUCACUUCGUGUGUUGCACAUCUAAGUCAUCAAUAUGCAUAAGGGUUAGGAUGUGUGCCUGAUCACAGGACAUUUGAGGAUUCCAGGAUAUUUAGCUCACACCAGAACUUGCAAAACCUCUUCUCAUCCAAGGGCUUGGUGAAGAUAUCUGCCAAUUGCUCUUCAGUGUUGACGUAUAUGAUAUCAAUGUCUUCCUUCACAACAUGAUCUCUGAGAACGUGAUGACGAAUUUCAAUGUGCUUUCUCUUCGAGUGCUGAACUGGGUUGUUGGCAAUCUUGAUGGCGCUUUCGUUGUCGCAGUAAAGUGGCACUUGCUUCAGAUGAAUGCCAUAGUCCUUGAGUGUUUGCUUCAUCCACAGAAGCUGAGCGCAGCAAGAUCCAGCAGCAAUGUAUUCAGAUUCAGCAGUGGAGAGAGAUACACAGUUCUGCUUCUUUGAAGACCAACAUACAAGUGAUCGUCCCAGAAAGUGACAUGUGCCUGAUGUAGACUUGCGAUCAACUUUGUCACCAGCAUAAUCAGCAUCCUAGAAUCCAACCAAAUCAAACUCUGAGCCCUUUGGAUACCAUAAUCCUAGAGUUGGGGUGUGAGCCAAAUAUCGAAGAAUUCGCUUCACAGCUAAGUCAUGCGACUCCUUUGGUGCCGCUUGAAAUCAAGCACACAUGCAAACACUAAGCAUAAUAUCUGGCCUAGAUGCACAUAAAUAAAGUAAAGAACCAAUCAUGGAGCGGUAUACCUUUUGAUCGAACUCUUUACCAUUGUCGUCAGGACCCAGAUGAUGUUUGGCUGGCAUUGGUGUUGUGAAGCCUUUGCAGUCUUGCAUACCGAACUUCUUCAGGCAAUCUUUGAGAUACUUCUCUUGAGAUAUGAAGAUGCCAUUGCGUUGUUGUCGUAUUUGAAGACCAAGGAAGAACUUAAGCUCCCCCAUCAUGGACAUCUGAUAUUGCUCUUGCAUCAUAUAUCCAAACUCUUCACUGUACUUCUGAUUUGUGCAGCCGAAGAUAAUGUCAUCCACAUAUAUUUGGCACACAAACAGUUCACCAUCAUAUGUCUUCGUGAAAAGAGUGGGAUCCAGGGAACCAGGUAUGAAGCCUUUGCUCUUCAGUAAGUAUUUGAGUGUGUCAUACUAGGCCCUAGGGGCUUGUUUGAGGCCAUACAGUGCCUUGUUGAGCUUGUAUACCAUGUCAGGAUGUUUUGGAUUUUCAAAGCUAGGCGGUUGUGCAACAUACACUUCUUCUUCAAUCUUGCCAUUGAGAAAGGCACUCUUCACAUCCAUUUGAUAUAGAAGUAUGUUAUGAUGAUUUGCAUAGGCCAGCAGUGUGCAUAUGGCUUCAAACCUAGCCACAGGAGCAAAUGUUUCAUCGAAGUCAAUGCCUUCUACUUGAGUAUAUCCUUGAGCAAUGAGACGAGCUUUGUUUCUGACAACUUGACCAUGCUCAUCUUGCUUGUUGCGGUAUAUCCAUUGACGCUUAACCAGUUCCCAUACAUUAUUUAGCUCAAACUAUUGAAGCUCUUCUUGCAUAGCUUGAAUCCAUUCAGGUUCCAUGAAGGCUUCUUCAACUUUCUUGGGUUCUGAUAUUGAGACAAAUGUGAAGUGCCCACGGAAAUUUGCUAGCUGAGUUUCCCUUGAACGAGUGAGUGGACCAGGUGCAUUGAUGCUGUCAAUUAUUCUGUCAAUAUGCACUUCAUUGGCAACACGAGGAUGUACAGGGCGAAGACUUUGCUCUUGCUGAUCUGUGUUGUUGUUGGGAGGAAUGUCUUCAGGCUGAGCAUUGUCUUCAUGUUGAUCAGGUGCUGAGAUGAUAAGUUCUUCUUCAGGAUGAGCUUCAGAAGGUAUAAUCUCUCCAGUUCCCAUUAGCUUGAUUGAUUCACUAGCUGGAAUUUCAUCUAGCACAUUUGGCAGUUGCUCUCUUUGUGAACCAUUUGUCUCAUCGAACCGCACAUCCACAGUUUCAACCACUUUGUAAUGGAAGAGAUUGAAGACUCUGUAGGAGUGCGAAUCCUUUCCAUAUCCAAGCAUAAAACCCUCAUGUGCUUUUGGUGCAAACUUUGAGGUGUGGUGUGGGUCCUUGAUCUAGCACCUUGCGCCAAAUACUCUGAAAUAACUGACAUUUGGCUUCUUGCCAGUUAGGAGUUCAUAAGAUGUCUUGUUCAGAAGCUUGUGAAGAUAAACACGAUUGAUUGUAUGGCAUGCAGUGUCAAUGGCUUCAGUCCAGAAUUUUCUUGGAGUCUUGUAUUCAUCUAGCAUUGUUCUGGCCAUCUCAAUGAGUGUUCUGUUCUUGCGUUCGACGACGCCAUUCUGUUGUGGCGUGUACGGAGCUGAGAAUUCAUGUGUGAUGCCCAAGGUAUCAAGAUAUGUAUCAAGGCCAGUGUUCUUGAAUUCAGUGCCAUUGUCACUUCUGAUGUGCUUUAUCUUGGCGCCAUAAUUGUUCAUGGCUCGAUUGGCGAAGCGUCUGAAGACAUCCUGCACUUCGGUCUUGUAAAGGAUUAUGUGCACCCAAGUAUAUCUAGAGUAAUCAUCAACAAUGACAAAGCCAUAGAGGCAAGCAGUAGUGGUAAAAGUUGAGUAGUGAGUGGGACCAAAAAGAUCCAUGUGAAGCAGUUCGAAGGGUCGAGUAGUGAUCAUGAUUGUUUUCGAGGGAUGUUUUGCCCUCGUCAUCUUCCCUGCUUCACAGGCACCACAUAAGUGAUCUUUCUUGAACUUGACGCCCUCGAUGCCUAUGACAUGCUUCUUCUUCGCAAGGGUGUGGAGGUUCCUCAUGCCAGCAUGCCCAAGCCUCUGAUGCCAAAGCCAGCAUUCUAAAGCUUUUGCAAGAAGACAUACUGCAAGUUGUGGCCCUGCUGAGAAAUCUACCACAUACAAAUCAUCUUUCCGAUACCCUUCAAACACUAGAGACUUGUCAGAUUCCAUUAGUACCAGGCAACGAUAUUUUCCAAAUAUUACGACCAUGUUCAAAUCGCAAAGCAUUGAAACACACAUUAAGUUGAAACCAAGGGAUUCAACAAGCAUGACUUUAUCCAUGUGUUGAUCCUUUGAGAUUGCAACUCUACCUAGACCCAAUACCUUACUUUUACCAGUGUCAGCAAAUGUGAUGUGACUCUUGUCGGAUGGACGUAAGGUUGAGUCCAUAAGGAGGCUUCUUUUGCCAGUCAUGUGAUUUGUACACCCACUGUCAAUAAUCCAUUCUGAAGACUUUGAAGACGCUGGUGUCGUACCCUACAGUGGAGUUAGGGGGAUAGGCUUCAAGAAGAGAAUUGUGAAGCAAAAACAUUUGACGAACCAGUGGGUUAUGAAAACUUAGAUCCAGAUUAGGACUAAUAGUGAGAGUAGCAUGCGAUUCAGGAACGAAGUACAUAAUGAUGCCAUUCGGGCAUUUUAUCUUGCGCCCUACAAGAUUUUUAAGGUCCCCAGCAAAAGCGUCAGAAGAUUUUGUUUUUCUGCUGGAGACCUUUCCCUGCAAAAGAGAGUUAAGCUUUCUUAACCACCCACAUCUUCAAGGGUGGCUUAAAAGCAAUAAGUCUAAGUGCAGCAUUUGAGAAUUUUGGUUUUGGAGCCCUAGCAAACAGUCUAGCAGGCGGACAAUAGUACUCAUAAGAAUAAGCAGAAUAAUUUUUGGUCAUAUGAUCAUGACGGUUUGAUGAACCGCUCUCAUAUUCAUAUGUCUGAGUAUGGUUUCCCUGCAAAACAUUUGCGUUAGUGUGACUCAGGUGAGUCCUCUGUCUGUAUGAAGCCUUUAGACCGUAUGAAGCCUUUGGUCUGAGGUUUGUCUUCUUCAUGUGAGGUGUCAUGAAGACAUUCACAGGAAGAUUUUCCAGACACUUUUUCGGAACCCAGAUCUUCUUCAUAGGCGGUCCAUUCCUGCAGUUAGUACCAAUGUACCUGGCAAACACUACACCAUUCUGAUUUUUAAAUAGUACAUAGUUUACAUCAAAGGAUUCAUCAAUGAUAAUGGGGUUAGCACAGGUGAAGCCUGAUAAAUUGGAUAGAUCUGCUGAAGGUUCCUUUGCAGCAACCCACUUGGUUUUGGGGUACUGCUCAGGUUUCCAGUAAGAGCCAUCUGCAUUUAUUUUCCUUAUGAACCCUAUACCCUCUUUCCUAGGGUUUCGGUUCAGAAUCUUCUUUUUCAGGACAUCACAUAGCGUCUGAUGCCCUUUAAGGCUUUUGUACAUCCCUGUUUCAAGCAAUGUCUUCAACCUAGCAUUCUCAUCAGCAAUAGCAGUGGUAUCCUCAGCAGAGGGGUUAGUUACCACAUCAACAGUUGAAGAUAUUGCAACAGCAAUAGCAGUGGAACAUUCAGCAACAGAAGUAGCAUUAUCACGCUCAAUGCAUUUCAGACAUGGUGGUUCAAAUCCUUCCUGAGCGGAACUGAUCUGUUCGACGCGAAGUGACUCGUUUUCCUUUUGAAGAUCUUCAUGAGCCGCUCUCAAUUUCUCAAGUUCUUGCUUCCUUUGAAGAUAAUCAUAGGAAAGCUUUUCAUGAGUUGUUGAGAGAGUAUCAUGACGAUCUUCAAGUUCCUGAUACUUAACAUGAAGGUUUUUUAUGUCUUUAAUUAAGGAUUCAGAUCGAGUCAUUUCAGCACCCAACAGAUCAUUGCUUCUGUCUAACAGUUUUUGAAUAUGUUCCAUGGCUUUCUGUUGUUCAGUUGCAAUUUUAGCAAGUGUUUUGUAACUGGGUUUUGAAUCACAAUCAGAGUCAUCGUCACUAGAUGUUUGACAGUGAGUAGUGCGUUUGUUUACCUUGGCACCACGUGCCAUGAAGCAGUAGGUAGGAGUGGAGUAGUCCUUGUCAUUUGCAUCGGUGUCGGUGAUGAAGUCAUUGUCUUCAGUGUUGAAGAUGGACUUGGCGACGUAUGAUGUAGCCAGACUUGCAAUGCCAGAAUCAGACUCCUCCUCAGACUCCACCUCUGCCUCCUCAGAAGCGGACUCCUCCUCUGAAUCCAUUUCCUUGCCAAAAAACGCACGUGCCUUGCCAGAUGAGCUCUUCUUGUGUGAUGAAGACUUUGAGGAAGACUUGGAAGAAGACUUUGUGUAUUUCUUCUUCUUCUUGUCGUCAGAGUCAUAUUCCUUGCUCUUCUUCUUCUUUCUGUUCUCAUUGUCCCACUAUGGACACUCAGAGAUGAAGUGUCCAGUUUUCUUGCACUUGUGGCAUGUUUUCUUCUUGUAGUCAUGAGAAGAAGCUUCAUCAUUCCUUGAGCUUGAUCGUGAAGACUUUCUGAAGCCUUUCUUCUUGGUGAAUUUUUGGAACUUCUUCACUAGCAUUGCAAGUUCCCUUCCAAUGUCUUCAGGAUCAUCAGAACUGCUGUCAGAUUCUUCUUUAGAUGAGGAAACAGCUUUUGCCUUCAAGGCACGAGUUCACCCAUAGUUUGGACCGUAGAUAUCUCUUUUCUCAGAAAGCUGCAACUCAAGUGUGUUGAGCCUCUCAAGUAUGUCAGAUGGAUCGAGUGUCUUGAAAUUAGGAUGUUCUUGAAUCAUCAGGGCUAGGAUGUCAAACGAACUAUCAAGUGAUCUCAGCAGCAUCUUGACGACUUCAUGUUUGGUGAUCUCAGUAGCACCGAGGGCUUGAAGCUCAUUUGUGAUGUUAGUGAGUCUGUCAAAUGUGUGUUGGACAUUCUCAUUGUCAUUUCGCUUGAAGCGGUUGAAGAGAUUGCGAAGGACACUGAUUCUUUGAUCUCUCUGGGUUGAGAUGCCUUCAUUGACCUUGGAGAGCCAGUCCCAGACCAGCUUGGAUGUCUUCAAAGCACUCACAUGGCCAUACUAUCCUUUGGUUAGAUGACCACAGAUGAUGUUCUUGGCAGUAGAGUCCAGUUGAACGACUUUCUUGACAUCAGCAACAGUGACACCUUCUCCAGCCUUGGGAACGCCGUUCUCGACGACAUACCAUAGGUCGACGUCAAUGGCUUCAAGAUGCAUACGCAUCUUAUUCUUCUAGUAGGGAUAUUCAGUUCCAUCGAAGACGGGGAACGCAGCGGAGACUUUAAUUAUCCCUGCAGUCGACAUAGCUAAAACUCCAGGUGGUUAAACCGAAUCACACAGAACAAGGGAGCACCUUGCUCUGAUACCAAUUGAAAGUGCGUUAUAUCGACUAGAGGGGGGGUGAAUAGGCGAUUUUUAUGAAAGUCUUCAAAACGUGGAAGUUAUGAAGAUAAACAAUAGAGAUAUGCCUAUCACUAUGUAGCAGAAGUUAGAUUACACUAGGCAAGCCAUGGUCAAGUAUUCAAUAGAGUGAAAGCACAAUGACAAGUAGCAGCAGUGUAAUAAGGAUCAGGUAGGAAGAAGUUAUGAAGCCAAACAAAUCAUACAGUUAUGUUGUGAAGACAAAAGAUAUAGCAAGCAUGCAAUGGCUUCACAAUGAGUAACAGUAAGUAAAAGGAAGUGAAGAUGAAACCAGUGACUCGUUGAAGACAAUGAUGUGUUGGACCGGUUCCAGUUGUUGUGACAACUGUACGUCUGGUUGGAGCGGCUAGGUAUUUAAACCUUAGGACACACAGUCUCGGACACCCAGUCCUGAACACGCAGCUCAGGACACCAAGUCCUCACCGUAUUCUCCUUGAGCUAAGGUCACAUAGUCCUCGCCCAAUCACUCAGGUAAGUCUUCAAGGUAGACUCCCAAACCUUCACAGACUUCGUUCACUGGCAAUCCACAAUGUCUCUUGGAUGCUCAGAACGCGACGCCUAACCGUCUGGAGGAUGCACAGUCCUCAAGUGUAAUAAGUCUUCAGAUCACUCAGACAAGAAGACUUAAGUGAUGCCCAAUUUACUCUGGCUCUGGGUGGUUAGGGCUUUCUCCUCGCUAGGAAUUUUCUCUCAAAGGCUUCGAGGUGGGUUGCUCUCAAACGACAAAAGCCGUGCACUGAAAUCUAAGCAGCCAACCGCUUAUGGUUGUAGGGGGUGGGCUAUUUAUAGCCACUUGGCAACCCGACCUGAUUUGUCCAAAAUGACCCUGGGUCACUAAGGAACUGACACGUGUCCCAACGGUCAGUUUUCAAACUUACAUGGCAACUUUACUUGGGCUACAAGCAAAGCUGACUUGUCCGGCUCUCGACAAGAUUCGCUCUCAUUGUCUUCACUCGAAGACAUAGGUUUUUUUUUGGUUUAGGCAUCACUUCAGUCAUUCUGACUGGUUCUCCUGGACCCCACUUAACAGUACGGUGGUUCCUAUGACUCAACACAAAAGAAAAAGAACUAUGAAAGAUCUAAGUCUUCGAGCUCCAUAGGCUUCAUAUCGUGUCUUCUUUUGUCAUAGUCUUCAAUGUGAAUAUCUUCAUAUACCACCUUUGACUUCAGUGUCUUCAUACAUUUUUAGGGGUCAUCUCUGGUAGUAAAACCGAAUCAAUGAGGGACUUCUACCUAUGUUAUCCUGUAAUUCUCACAAACACAUUAGUCCCUCAACUAGGUUUGUCGUCAAUACUCCAAAACCAACUAGGGGUGGCACUAGAUGCACUUACAAUCUCCCCCUUUUUGGUGAUUGAUGACAAACUAGUUGAAAUUUUCAACGGGGAAUAUAGUCUGUGAAGUUGUAAAGGAUAAGGAAUUGUCUUCAUAAGUUGCAAGGGCCUGAAUGUUCUGUGCUACCCUGUGGGCCUACUGGGCCUUUGCGGGCCUGCAUCCUGGCCCAACAACAGGUUGGGUUUCUAGUCGUAUGCAGGCCGCUGUGGCGCAGUAGGUGGGAUUUUUUUCUUAUUUUUUUGCUUUAUUUAUUUUUGUUUUAUUUAUUUUUGAGUUGUUUUUUGCUGUAUUUAGAGUUUCUUUGUGAAUAUUUUUGAUUUAGGUACAAAAAAUUACUAACUUUAUGUUAGUACCGCUAGUUUACAAAUUUGAAUAGUUUAAAUUUUGAAUUAUUUAAAAUUUGUGUGAAUCACUAGUUUGUGAAUAACUUAACUUUGAAAAUAGAUUUUUCAGUGAUUCUUUUUUCUUAUGUUUAAUAUUAGUGUGUUUUAUCAUUAUAUUCAAUUUGGUAAUGCUUAGGUUAUUUAAAAAAUGAAAUUCCUUUGUAACGGAUGAGUUUUCGUCCGAAACCCUGAUACUUCGAAAGAGAUUGUCCAUUUUGUAUACGAAGUGCAUCCAGCUUUUGCGGUAACCCUCUCUACUUUUUUGCACAUGCUAUGUGGGUGAAAUUAUGAUACCAUGCCAACUUUCAACCUUUUCUGAGUUCAUUUGAAAUGCUUUUCAAUUUCAGGGUCAUUUAGCUGGAAAAAAUCAGUAAAUGCAUCAAAGAAUUUGCUUGCACAUAAAAUUUCUUCGCGUUUCAAAUGCCAAAACACAUAACUAGCUACCCUAACUAUUACAGAGAAUCCCUCCUAGGUGUGAAACACAGAAGAAAGUGAUGAUAGUGAAGCCGAUCACAUCCCAGACCUUUGGGUGUGAAACUUUUUCUUCGCGUGUGUCCCUUUGCGCCGUAGCCAUGGAAAAUCUUCAUCAUUUAACUGGAUGCUCGGGUCAAUAUUCACUGUGAAUGGAGCAAUUUCAUCAAACUUUUCAUAAUCUCCUGACAUGUCUGUCUUGUCAUCCACUCCCAUGAUGUUUCUCUUCCCAGAAAGAACUAUGUGCCGCUUUGGCUCAUUGUACGAUGCAUUCGCUUCCUUAUCUUUUCUUUUUCUCGGCUUGGUAGACAUGUCCUUCACAUAGAAAACAUGUGCCACAUCAUUGGCUAGGACGAAUGGUUCGUCUACAUACGCAAAAUUGUUGAGAUCCACUGUUGUCAUUCCGUACUGCGGGUCUUCCGUUACCCCGCCUCGUGUCAUAUUGACCCAUUUGCACCGAAACAAAGGGACCUUCAAACCACGUCGAUAGUCAAGUUCCCAUAUGUCCUGUAUAUAACCAUAAUAUGUUCCCUUUCCUGUCUUGGUUUCUGCAUCAAAGCAGACACCACUGUUUUGGUUGGUGUUCUUCUUAUCUUGGGCGAUCGUGUAAAAUGUAUUACCAUUUAUCUCGUACCCUUUGAAAGUCAUUAUAUUCGAAGAUGGUAACUGGGAUAGCAAGUACAGGUCAUCUUCAAUAGAGGCGUCAUGCAUGGUACGUGUCUGCAACCAGCUGGCGAAACUCCUGGUUUGUUCACGUGUAAUCCAGUGAUCAGACCGCUCUGAGUGUUUGGAGCGUAGAAAAUUCUUGUGUUCAUCCAUAUACGGAGCCACCAAGGCGGAAUUCUGUAGAAUUGUGUAGUGUGCUUAAGUGAGAGAAUGUCCAUCCAUACAUAUUAUUUGUUCCCCUCCUAGCGUGCCUUUUCCAUCCAGUCUGCCCUUAUGCCGCGAUUCAGGAACACCAAUCGGCUUAAGGUCAGGAAUAAAGUCAAUACAAAACUCAAUGACCUCCUCAUUUUCAUGGCCCUUGGAGAUGCUUCCUUCUGGCCUAGCACGGUUAUGAACAUAUUUCUUUAAGAGUCCCAUGAACCUCUCAAAGGGGAACAUAUUGUGUAGAAAUACAGGACCCAAAACGUUAAUCUCUUCACAUAGGUGAACUAGGAUGUGCGUCAUGAUGUUGAAGAAGGAUGGUGGGAACACCAACUCGAAACUGACAAGACAUUGCACCAAAUCAUUCUCUAACCUUGCUAUGAUUUAUGGAUCGAUUACCUUUUGAGAGAUUGCAUUGAGGAAUGCACAUAGCUUCACAAUGGCUAAUCGAACGUUUUCCGGUAGAAGCCCCCUCAAUGCAACUGGAAGCAGUUGUGUCAUAAUCAUGUGGCAGUCAUGAGACUUUAGGUUCUGGAACUUUUUCUCUGCCAUGUUUAUUAUUCCCUUUAUAUUCGACGAGAAGCCAGACGGUACCUUAAUACUGAGCAGGCAUUCAAAGAAGAUUCCUUCUCUUCUUUGGUAAGAGCGUAGCUUGCAUGACCCUGAUGUAUGCCGUCUUUUCCGUGCAUACGUUGCUAGUCCUCCCGUGCCUCAGGUGUAUCUUUUGUCUUCCCAUACACGCCCAAGAAGCCAAGCAGGGUCACACAAAGAUUCUUCGUCACGUGCAUCACGUCGAUUGCGGAGCGAAACUCUAGGUCUUUCCAAUAGGGCAGGUCCCAAAAUAUAGAUUUCUUCUUCCACAUGGGUGCGCGUACGUCAGCGUCAUUCGGAACAGGUUGUCCACCAGGACCCUUUCCAAAGACCACCUUCAAAUCCUUGACCAUAUCAUGUACAUCAGCACCAGUACAGUGGCGAGGCUUCGUCCGAUGAUCCGCCUCACCUUUGAAAUUCUUGCCUUUCUUUCUUACAGGAUGCCUGCUCGGAAGAAAUCGACGAUGUUGGGGAACGUUGCAGAAAACAAAAAAUUUCCUACGGUUUCACCAAGAUCCAUCUAGGAGUUCAUCUAGCAACGAGUGAUUAGAUGCAUCUACGUACCUUGUAGAUCGCGAGCGGAAGCGUUCAAAGAACGGGGAUGAGGGAGUCGUACUCGUUGUGAUUCGAAUCACCGAAGAUCCUAGCACCGAACGGACGGCACCUCCACGUUCAACACACGUACGUAACAGCCACGUCUCCUCCUUCUUUAUCCAGCAAGGGGGAAGGAGAGGUUGAGGGAGAUGGCUCUAGCAGCAGCACGACGGCGUGGUGAUGAUGGAGCUGCAGUACUCCGGCAGGGCUUCGCCAAGCACUAUGGAGGAGGAGGAGGAGUUGGAGAGGGAGAGGGAGGCACCAAAGAUCAAGGUAAGAAGUCCUCCAUCUCCCCACUAUAUAUAGGAGGGCCAAGGGGGGGGGGGCGCUGGCCCUAGGAGAUCUAAUCUCCUAGGGGGGUGCGGCCAAGGGGAGGAAUCCCUCCUCCCCAAGGCACCUAGGAGGUGCCUUCCCCUCCUAGGACUCUUCCCUCCUUGAAACCCUAGGCGCAUGGGCCUCUUAGGGCUGAUGCCCUUGGCCCAUGUAGGCCAAGGCGGACCCCCUACAGCCCAUGUGCCCCCCCAGGACAGGUGGCCCCACCCGGUGGACCCCCGGGACCCUUCCGGUGGUCCCGGUACAAUACCGGUGACCCCGAAACUUGUCCCGAUGCCCGAAAUAGCACUUCCUAUAUAUAAUUCUUUACCUCCGGACCAUUCCGGAACUCCUCGUGACGUCCGGGAUCUCAUCCGGGACUCCGAACAACAUUCAGGUUACCGCAUAUACAUAUCCCUACAACCCUAGCGUCACCGAACCUUAAGUGUGUAGACCCUACGGGUUCGGGAGACAUGUAGACAUGACCGAGAUCGCUCUCUGUCCAAUAACCAACAGCGGGAUCUGGAUACCCAUGUUGGCUCCCACAUGCUCCUUGAUGAUCUCAUUGGAUGAACAACGAUGUCGAGGAUUCAAGCAACGUAUACAAUUCCCUUUGUCAAUCGGUAUGUUACUUGCCCGAGAUCCGAUCGUCGGUAUCCCAAUACCUCGUUCAAUCUCGUUACCGGCAAGUCACUUUACUCGUGUCGUAAUGCAUGAUCCCGUGACUAGACUUGGUCACUUUGAGCUCAUAAUGAUGAUGCAUUACCGAGUGGGCCCAGUGAUACCUCUCCGUCAUACGGAGUGACAAAUCCCAGUCUUGAUCCGUGUCAACCCAACAGACACUUUCGGAGAUACCCGUAGUAUACCUUUAUAGUCACCCAGUUACGUUGUGAUGUUUGGCACACCCAAAGCACUCCUACGGUAUCGGGAGUUACACGAUCUCAUGGUCUAAGGAAAAGAUACUUGACAUUGGAAAACUCUAGCAAACGAACUACACGACCUUGUGCUAUGUUUAGGAUUGGGUCUUGUCCAUCACAUCAUUCUCCUAAUGAUGUGAUCUCGUUAUCAAUGACAUCCAAUGUCCAUAGUCAGGAAACCAUGACUAUCUGUUGAUCAAUGAGCUAGUCAACUAGAGGCUUACUAGGGACAUGUUGGUGUCUAUUAUUCACACAUGUAUUACGAUUUCCGGAUAACACAAUUAUAGCAUGAAUAAAGACAAUUAUCAUGAACAAGGAAAUAUAAUAAUAAUGCUUUUAUUAUUGCCUCUAGGGCAUAUUUCCAACAGUCUCCCACUUGCACUAGAGUCAAUAAUCUAGUUACAUUGUGAUGAAUCGAACACCCAUGGAAUUCUGGUGUUGAUCAUGUUUUGCUCUAGGGAGAGGUUUAGUCAACGGAUCUGCUACAUUCAGGUCCGUAUGUACUUUACAAAUAUCUAUGUCUCCAUCUUGAAUAUUUUCACGAAUGGAGUUGAAGCGACGCUUGAUGUGCCUUGUCUUCUUGUGAAACCUAGGCUCCUUGGCAAGUGCAAUAGCUCCAGUGUUGUCACAGAAGAGCUUGAUCGGCCCCGAUGCAUUGGGUAUGACUCCUAGGUCGGUGAUGAACUCCUUCACCCAAAUUGCUUCAUGCGCUGCCUCCGAGGCUGCCAUGUAUUCCGCUUCACAUGUAGAUCCCGCCACGACGCUCUGCUUGCAACUGCACCAGCUUACUGCCCCACCAUUCAAAAUAUACACGUAUCCGGUUUGUGACUUAGAGUCAUCCAGAUCUGUGUCGAAGCUAGUGUCGACGUAACCCUUUACGAUGAGCUCUUCGUCACCUCCAUAGACGAGAAACAUUUCCUUAGUCCUUUUCAGGUACUUCAGGAUAUUCUUGACCGCUGUCCAGUGUUCCUUGCCGGGAUUACUUUGGUACCUUCCUACCAAACUUACGGCAAGGUUUACAUCAGGUCUGGUACACAGCAUGGCAUACAUAAUAGACAUAUGGCUGAGGCAUAGGGGAUGACACUCAUCUCUUCUAUAUCUUCUGCCGUGGUCGGACAUUGAGCUGAGCUCAAUUUCAUACCUUGUAACACAGGCAAGAACCCCUUCUUAGACUGAUCCAUAUUGAACUUCUUCAAUAUCUUAUCAAGGUAUGUGCUUUGUGAAAGACCUAUGAGGUGUCUUGAUCUAUCUCUGUAGAUCUUGAUGCCUAAUAUAUAAGCAGCUUCUCCAAGGUCCUUCAUUGAAAAACUUUUAUUCAAGUAGGCCUUAAUGUUGUCCAAGAGUUCUAUAUCAUUUCCCAUCAAAAGUAUGUCAUCUACAUAUAAUAUGAGAAAUGCUACAGAGCUCCCACUCACUUUCUUGUAAAUGCAGGCUUCUCCAUAAGUCUGUGUAAACCCAAACGCUUUGAUCAUCUCAUCAAAGCGAAUGUUCCAACUCCGAGAUGCUUGCACCAGCCCAUAAAUCGAGCGUUGGAGCUUGCACACCUUGUCAGCAUUCUUAGGAUCGACAAAACCUUCCGGCUGCAUCAUAUACAAUUCUUCCUUAAGGAAACCAUUAAGGAAUGCCGUUUUGACGUCCAUUUGCCAUAUCUCAUAAUCAUAGAAUGCGGCAAUCGCUAACAUGAUUCGGACGGACUUCAGCUUCGCUACCGGUGAGAAAGUCUCAUCGUAGUCAACCCCUUGAACUUGUCGAUAACCCUUAGCAACAAGCCGAGCUUUAUAGAUGGUCACAUUACCAUCCGCAUCUGUCUUCUUCUUAAAGAUCCAUUUAUUUUCUAUGACUCGCCGCUCAACAGGCAAGUCAGUCAAAGUCCAUACUUCGUUUUCAUACAUGGAUCCUAUCUCGGAUUUCAUGGCUUCUAGCCAUUUGUCGGAAUCCGGGCCCGCCAUUGCUUCUUCAUAGUUCGAAGGUUCACCGUUGUCUAACAACAUGAUUUCCAAGACAGGGUUGCCGUACCACUCUGGUGCGGAACGUGUCCUUGUGGACCUUCGAAUUUCAGUUGGAGCUUGAUCAGAAGUAUCUUGAUCAUCAUCAUUGACUUCCUCUCUUGUCGGUGCAGGCACCUCAGAAACAUUUUCUUGAGUUGCGCCAUUUUCCGGUUCAAGAGGUAAUACUUCAUCAAGUUCUACUUUCCUCCCACUUACUUCUUUCGAGAGAAACUCUUUCUCUAGAAAGGACCCAUUCUUGUCAACAAAGAUCUUGCCUUCGGAUCUGAGGUAGAAGGUAUACCCAACAGUUUCUUUAGGGUAUCCUAUGAAGAUGCAUUUUUCCGAUUUGGGUUCGAGCUUUUCAGGUUGAAGUUUCCUGACAUAAGCAUCGCAUCCCCAAACUUUUAGAAACGACAACUUAGGUUUCUUCCCAAACCAUAAUUCAAACGGUGUCAUCUCAACGGAUUUCGACAGAGCCCUAUUUAAAGUGAAUGCGGCAGUCUCUAAAGCAUAGCCCCAAAAGAUAGCGGUAAAUCGGUAAGAGACAUCAUAGAUCGCACCAUAUCUAAUAGAGUGCGAUUACGAUGUUCGGACACACCAUUACGCUGAGGUGUUCCAGGCGGCAUUAGUUGUGAAACUAUUCCACAUUUUCUUAAGUGUGUGCCAAACUCGUGACUCAAGUAUUCUCCUCCACGAUCUGAUCGCGGGAACUUGAUUUUCCUGUCACGUUGAUUCUCAACCUCACUCUGAAAUUCCUUGAACUUUUCAAAGGUCUCAGACUUGUGUUUCAUUAAGUAGACAUACCCAUAUUUACUUAAGUCAUCAGUGAGGGUGAGAACAUAAUGAUAGCCACCGCGAGCCUCAACACUCAUUGGACCGCACACAUCAGUAUGUAUGAUUUCCAAUAAGUUGGUUGCUCGCUCCAUUGUUCCUGAGAACGGAGUCUUGGUCAUUUUACCCAUGAGGCAUGGUUCACACGUGUCAAAUGAUUCGUAAUCAAGAGACUCUAAAAGUCCAUCAGCAUGGAGCUUCUUCAUGCGUUUGACACCUAUGUGACCAAGGCGGCAGUGCCACAAGUAUGUGGGACUAUCAUUAUCAACCUUACUUCUUUUGGUACUCACACUAUGAAUAUGUGUAGCAUUACGCUCGAGAUUCAUUAAGAAUAAACCAUUCACCAUCGGAGCAUGACCAUAAAACAUAUCUCUCAUAUAAAUAGAACAACCAUUAUUCUCGGAUUUAAAUGAGUAGCCAUCUCAUAUUAAACGAGAUCCUGAUACAAUGUUCAUGCUCAAACUUGGCACUAAAUAACAAUUAUUGAGGUUUAAAACUAAUCCCGUAGGUAAAUGUAGAGGUAGCGUGCCGACGGCGAUCACAUCGACCUUGGAACCAUUCCCGACGCGCAUCGUCACCUCGUCCUUCGCCAGUCUCCGCUUAUUCCGUAGCUCCUGCUUUGAGUUACAAAUGUGAGCAACCGCACCGGUAUCAAAUACCCAGGAGCUACUACGAGUACUGGUAAGGUACACAUCAAUUACAUGUAUAUCACAUAUACCUUUCGUUUUGCCGGCCUUCUUGUCCGCUAAGUAUUUGGGGCAGUUCCGCUUAAAGUGACCACUUUCCUUGCAAUAAAAGCACUCAGUCUCGGGCUUGGGUCCAUUCUUUGGCUUCUUCCCGGCAGCUUGCUUGCCGGGCGCGGCAACUCCCUUGCCGUCCUUCUUGAAGGCUUUCUUACCCUUGCCCUUCUUGAACUUAGUGGUUUUAUUCACCAUCAACACUUGAUGUUCCUUUUUGACUUCUACCUCUGCUGAUUUCAGCAUUGCAAAUACUUCAGGAAUGGUCUUUUCCAUCCCCUGCAUAUUGAAGUUCAUCACAAAGCUCUUGUAGCUCGGUGGAAGCGACUGAAGGAUUCUGUCAAUGACCGUGUCAUCCGGGAGAUUAACUCCCAGCUGAGUCAAGCGGUUAUGUAACCCAGACAUUGUGAGUAUGCGCUCACUAACAGAACUAUUUUCCUCCAUCUUACAGCUGAAGAAUUUGUUGGAGACUUCAUAUCUCUCAACCCGGACAUGAGCUUGGAAAACCAUUUUCAGCUCUUCGAACAUCUCAUAUGCUCCGUGUCUCUCAAAACGCUUUUGGAGUCCCGGCUCUAAGUUGUAAAGCAUGCCGCACUGAAGAGGGAGUAGUCAUCGGUACGUGUCUGCCAAGCGUUCAUAACUUCUUGUUCUACAGGGAGAAUAGGUGCGUCACCCAGCGGUGCUUGUAGGACAUAAUCUUUCUUGGCAGCUAUGAGGAUGAUCCUCAGGUUCCGGACCCAGUCCGUGUAGUUGCUGCCAUCGUCUUUCAGCUUGGUUUUCUCUAGGAACGCGUUGAAGUUGAGGACUACAUUGGCCAUUUGAUCUACAAGACAUAUUGUAAAAAAUUUAGACUAAGUUCAUGAUAAUUAAGUUCAUCUAAUCAAAUUAUUCAAUGAACUCCCACUUAGAUAGACAUCCCUCCAGUCAUCUAAGUAUAACAUGAUCCGAGUUAACUAGGCCGUGUCCGAUCAUCACGUGAGACGGACUAGUCAACAUCGGUGAACAUCUUCAUGUUGAUCGUAUCUUCUAUACGACUCAUGCUCGACCUUUCGGUCUUCUGUGUUCCGAGGCCAUGUCUGUACACAUGCUAGGCUCGUCAAGUCAACCUAAGUGUUUUGCAUGUGUAAAUCUGUCUUACACCCGUUGUAUGUGAACGUUAGAAUCUAUCACACCCGAUCAUCACGUGGUGCUUCGAAACAACGAACUGUCGCAACGGUGCACAGUUAGGGGGGAACACUUUCUCGAAAUUAUUAUGAGGGAUCAUCUUAUUUACUACCAUCGUUCUAAGUAAACAAGAUGAAAAACAUGAUAAACAUCACAUGCAAUCAAAUAAUAACAGUGACAUGAUAUGGCCAAUAUCACAUAGCUCCUUUGAUCUCCAUCUUGGGGCUCCAUGAUCAUCUUGUCACCGGCAUGACACCAUGAUCUCCAUCAUCAUGAUCUCCAUCAUCGUGUCUCCAUGAAGUUGCUCGCCAACUAUUACUUCUACUACUAUGUCUAACGCGUUUAGCAAUAAAGUAAAGUAAUUUACAUGGCGUUUCUCAAUGACACGUAGAUCAUAUAAAAAAAAUAGACAACUCCUAUCGCUCCUGCCGGUUGUCAUACUCAUCGACAUGCAAGUCAUGAUUCCUAUUACAAUAGCAUGAACAUCUCAUACAUCACAUAUAGAUCAUUCAUCAUUCAUCACAACUUUGGCCAUAUCAUAUCACAAAGCACUUGCUGCAAAAACAAGUUAGACGUCCUCUAAUUGUUGUUGCAAGUUUUACGUGGCUGAAGUAGGGUUCUAGCAAGAACGUUUUCUUACCUACAUGAAAGCCACAACGUGAUUUGUCAACUUCUAUUUACCCUUCAUAAGGACCCUUUUCAUCGAAUCCGCUCCAACUAAAGUAGGAGAGACAGACACCCGCCAGCCACCUUAUGCAACUUGUGCAUGUUAGUCGGUGGAACCGGUCUCACGUAAGCGUACGUGUAAGGUUGGUCCGGGUCGCUUCAUCCCACAAUACCGUUGAAGCAAGAUAAGACUAGUAGCGGCAAGAAAGUUGACAACAUCAACACCCACAACAAAUUGUGUUCUACUCGUGCAAGAGAACUACGCAUAGACCUAGCUCAUGAUGCCACUGUUGGGGAACGUUGCAGAAAACAAAAAUUUUCCUACGGUUUCACCAAGAUCCAUCUAGGAGUUCAUCUAGCAAUGAGUGAUUAGAUGCAUCUACGUACCUUGUAGAUCGCGAGCGGAAGCGUUCAAAGAACGGGGAUGAGGGAGUCGUACUCGUCGUGAUUCGAAUCACCGAAGAUCCUAGCACCGAACGAAUGGCACAUCCGCGUUCAACACACGUACGGAACAGCCACGUCUCCUCCUUCUUGAUCCAGCAAGGGGGAAGGAGAGGUUGAGGGAGAUGGCUCCAGCAGCAGCACGACGGCGUGGUGAUGAUGGAGCUGCAGUACUCCGGCAGGGCUUCGCCAAGCACUAUGGAGGAGGAAGGGGAGUUGGAGAGGGAGAGGGAGGCACCAAAGAUCAAGGUAAGAAGUCCUCCAUCUCCCCACUAUAUAUAGGAGGGCCAAGGGGGGGCGCCGUCCCUAGGAGAUCUAAUCUCCUAGGGGGGUGCGGCCAAGGGGAGGAAUCCCUCCUACCCAAGGCACCUAGGAGGUGCCUUCCCCUCCUAGGACUCUUCCCUCCUUGAAACCCUAGGUGCAUGGGCCUCUUAGGGCUGAUGCCCUUGGCCCAUGUAGGCCAAGGCGCACCCCCUACAGCCCAUGUGGCCCCCUGGGACAGGUGGCCCCACCCGGUGGACCCCCGGGACCCUUCCGGUGGUCCCGGUACAAUACCGGUGACCCCGAAACUUGUCCUGAUGCCCGAAAUAGCACUUCCUAUAUAUAAUUCUUUACCUCCGGACCAUUCCGGAACUCCUCGUGACGUCCGGGAUCUCAUCCGGGACUCCGAACAACAUUCAGGUUACUGCAUAUACAUAUCCCUACAACCCUAGCAUCACCGAACCUUAAGUGUGUAGACCCUACGGGUUCGGGAGACAUGUAGACAUGACCGAGAUCGCUCUCCGGCCAAUAACCAACAGCGGGAUCUGGAUACCCAUGUUGGCUCCCACAUGCUCCUCGAUGAUCUCAUCGGAUGAACCACGAUGUCGAGGAUUCAAGCAACCCCGUAUACAAUUCCCUUUGUCAAUCGGUAUGUUACUUGCCCGAGAUCCGAUCGUCGGUAUCCCAAUACCUCGUUCAAUCUCGUUAUCGGAAAGUCACUUCACUCGUGCCGUAAUGCAUGAUCCCGUGACCAGACACUUGGUCACUUUGAGCUCAUAAUGAUGAUGCAUUACCGAGUGGGCCCAGUGAUACCUCUCCGUCAUACGGAGUGACAAAUCCCAGUCUUGAUCCGUGUCAACCCAACAAACACUUUCGGAGAUACCCGUAGUAUACCUUUAUAGUCACCCAGUUACGUUGUGACGUUUGGCACACCCAAAGCACUCCUACGGUAUCCGGGAGUUACACGAUCUCAUGGUCUAAGGAAAAGAUACUUGACAUUGGAAAACUCUAGCAAACGAACUACACGACCUUGUGCUAUGUUUAGGAUUGGGUCUUGUCCAUCACAUCAUUCUCCUAAUGAUGUGAUCUCAUUAUCAAUGACAUCCAAUGUCCAUAAUCAGGAAACCAUGACUAUCUGUUGAUCAACGAGCUAGUCAACUAGAGGCUUACUAGGGACAUGUUGGUGUCUAUUAUUCACACAUGUAUUACGAUUUUCGGAUAACACAAUUAUAGCAUGAAUAAAGACAAUUAUCAUGAACAAGGAAAUAUAAUAAUAAUGCUUUUAUUAUUGCCUCUAGGGCAUAUUUCCAACAGACGAUGUCCCAGGUACACAUUCUUCUUACAAUUAGCCAAAUAUAUACUGUCGGUAUCGUCCAAACAGUGUGUGCAUGCGCGGUAUCCCUUGUUUGUCUGUCCUGAAAGGUUACUGAGAGCAGGCCAAUCAUUAAUGGUCACGAACAGCAACGCCUUUAGGUCAAAUUCUUCCCCCAUGUGCUCAUCCCACGCAUGUACACCUGUUCCAUUCCACAGUUGUAAGAGUUCUUCAACUAAUGGCCUUAGGUACACAUCAAUGUCGUUGCCGGGUUGCUUAUGGCCUUGGAUGAGCACUGGCAUCAUAAUGAACUUACGCUUCAUGCACAACCAAGGAGGAAGGUUAUACAAACAUAGAGUCACAGGCCAGGUGCUAUGGUUGCUGCUCUGCUCCCCAAAAGGAUUAAUGCCAUCUGUGCUUAGACCAAACCAUACGUUCCUUGCGUCAUCUGCAAACUCCUUCCCGUACUUUCUUUCGAUUUUUCUCCACUGCGACCCGUCAGCGGGUACUCUUAACUUUCCAUCUUUCUUACGGUCUUCUCUGUGCCAUCGCAUCUCCUUGGCAUGCUCUUUGUUUUGGAACAAAUGUUUCAACCGUGGUAUUAUAGGAGCAUACCACAUCACCUUGGCAGGAAUCUUCUUCCCGGGGCGCUCGCCCUCGACAUCACCAGGGUCAUCGCGGCUGAUCUUAUAGCGCAAUGCACCGCAUACUAGGCAAGCGUUCAAAUCCUCCUACUCACCGCAGUAGAGGAUGCAAUUAUUAGGGCAUGCAUGUAUCUUCUGCACCUCUAACCCUAGAGUGCAGACAUCCUUCUUUGAUUCGUACAUACUCUCGGGCAAUUCGUUGUCCUUUGGAAGCAUAUUCUUUAUCAUUACCAGCAACUUUCCAAAUCCCUUGUCAGAUACACCAUUCUCUGCCUUCCAUUGUAGCAAUUCCAGUGUGGUGCCCAGCUUUUUCUUGUCACCUACGCAAUUCGGGUACAACAAUUUUUCGUGAUCCUCUAACAUGCGCUGCAACUUCUUCUUCUCCAAAUCACUUGCGCAGUUUCUCUUUGCAUCGGCAAUGGCCCGACCUAGAUCAUCAACGGGCUCAUCCAAUGCCUCAUCUUCAGCUUCUUCCCGCAUUGCCGGCUCAGCUUCUUCCCGCAUUACCGGCUCAGCUUCUUCCCUCGAUGUUGUAUCAUUGUAUUCAGGGAACCCAUGGCUAGGAUAGCUGUCGUCGUCCUCUUCUUCUUCAUUGUCUUCCAUCAUAACCCCUCUUUCUCCAUGCUUGGUCCAAACAUUAUAGUGGGGCAUGAAACCGGACUCAAACAGGUGGACGUGAAUGGUUCUUGACGUAGAGUAAUUGUGACCAUUCUUACAGCCAGCACAUGGACAAGGCAUAAAACCAUCUGCCCGCUUGUUUGCCUUAGCCGCAAGCAGAAAAGUACGCACGCCAUUAAUGAACUCGGGAGAGCAUCGGUCAUCGUACAUCCAUUGCCGGCUCAUCUUAAUACACAGCACCGAAAACACCAAAUUAAUACAAUACAUACAGUUCAUACAUAAAGAUCAUACAACACUUAAAUGCAACAAACAAAUAACUCUCUAGCUAAAGAAUUUAAAUGCAACAACAAAUGCGAUCAAGAUCGCAACUAAGGUAACAAUUGAUCCAACAGCAUAAUGAUACCAAGCCUCACUAUGAAUGGCAUAUUUUCUAAUCUUUCUAAUCUUCAAGCGCAUUUUCUCCAUCUUAAUCUUGUGAUCAUCGACGACAUCGGCAACAUGCAACUCCAAUUCCAUCUUCUCCCCCUCAAUUCUUUUCAAUUUUUCCUUCAAAUCCUCGUUUUCUCUUUCAACUAAAUUUAACCUCUCGACAAUAGGGUCGGUUGGAAUUUCUGGUUCAACUACCUCCUACAUACAAAUAUCUAUGUCAACUUGAUGGGCAUAAUUUGUCAUAAACACGAAAUGCAAUGAAUAGUUUUAAAAGAGAAUAUACCACAUCCAAAUCAUAACCCGGACGAGGGCCGACGGGGACGGAUAUCAAAACCAUGGCACUAUGUAUAACAAACAAUGUAUGGGUAAGAUAAUUAUACGAGUAACUAUAUAUCCAAAUCACACAAACAUCAAUUUUUUAUAUAAAAUUUCAUGAACAAGAGGCUCACCACAAGGUGGUGCCGGCGAUGGGACGUUGCGAGCGAUCGGCGGUGGUUACGACGGAGAUUUAGAAGGUACUAAGUAAACCACACCUACAUAUGCAAACUAAGUGUUAUUUUUUACCUCAAAUUGCAUAUAAAUCAAAUACUAGCACAUAUAUAUAAUUCCUCCCAAAUUACUAAACUCAAAAAUCAAUCACUAUAUAAAGCAUUACACGAGCUAAUCUAGCAAUGAGAGAUGAAAGGACAAAGUUGCUAACCUUUGUGAUCAUUUGAAUUGAUGGGGGCCUUCAAAUCUUGACAAAUUUUGGGCAAAAUGUGUGAUGAGCUUGAGAGGAAGAUGGAAAAGAACAGAGAGGAGAGGGGAAAGGGGAAGAACAGAGCGAGCUCGGGUGGAUGAAGGGUCUGUGUAGGACGACCUUUAGUACCGGUUCGUGAUACGACCCGGUACUAAAGGUGCUGGAGGGGCCCCGGACUAACAACAUCCUGCCAUCACUCAAUUUAGUACCGGUUCGUGGCACGAACUGGUGCUAAAGGUUCGCCACGAACCGGUACUAAUGAGAGCGGCCGGCUAGCCGUUGGAACCGGCACUAAUGCACACAUUAGUGCCGGCUCAAAUUCAAACCAGCACUAAGGUGCUUCACAUUUGACCCUUUUUCUACUAGUGAAAGAAUGGAAUCAGUGGCUCGUUAAAGACAAUGAUUUGUUGGACCAGUUCCUGACAAAUGUACGUCUGGUUAGGGAGGCUGAGAUUCAACUCAGAAGACCGCGUCUUCACCUUAUUCCCCUUGAACUAAGGACACCCAGUCCUCGCCCAAUCACUCUGGUAAGUCUUCAAGGUAGACUUCCAAACCUUCACGGACUUCGUUCACCGGCGAUCCACAAUGACUCUUGGAUGCUCAGAACGCGACGCCUAACCGGUUGGAGGAUUCACAGUCCUCAAGUGUAAUAAGUCUUUAGAUCACACAGACAGGAAGACUUCAGUGAUGCCCAACACUCUUUGGCUCUGGGUGUUUAGGGCUUUGUCCUCGCAAGGAAUUCUCUCUCAAAGGCUUCGAGGUGGGUUGCUCUCAAACGACAAAAGCCGUACACUAACUCUGAGCAGCCAACCGUUUAUGGUUGUAGGGGGUGGGAUAUUUAUAGCCACUAGGCAACCCGACCUGAUUUGUCCGAAAUGACCCUGGGUCACUAAGGAACUGACACGUGUUCCAACGGUCAGAUUUCAAACACACGCGGCAAAUUUACUUGGGCUACAAGCAAAGCUGACUUAUCCAGCUCUGGAUAAGAUUUGCUCUCAUUGUCUUCACUCGAAGACAUAGGAUUUUGGUUAAGCAUCACUUCAGUCAUUCUGACUGGUUCACUUGGACCCCACUUAACAGUACGGUGGUUCCUAUGACUCAACAAAGAAGAAAAAGAACGACGAAACAACUAAGUCUUCGCGCUCCAUAGUCUUCACGCGAUGUCUUCUCUUGUCAUAGUCUUCAGAAUGUCUUCACAUACCACCUUUGACUUCAAUGUCUUCAUACAUUUUUAGGGGUCAUCUCUGGUAGGAAAACCGAAUCAAUGAGGGACUUCUACCUAUGUUAUCCUGCAAUUCUCACAAACACAUUAGUCCCUCAACCAGGUUUGUCGUCAAUACUCCAAAACCAACUAGGGGUGGCACUAGAUGCACUUACACUUCUUCACUUGAGCAGCAACUGGCUUGUUGUUCUUCUUGAAGUUCCCCUUCUUCCGUUUACCCUUUUUCUUGAAACUGGUGGUCUUGUUGACCAUCAACGCUUGAUGCUCCUUCUUGAUUUCUACCUUCGCAUCCUUUAGCAUCGCGAAGAGCUUGGGAAUUGUCUUAUCCAUCCCUUGAAUAUUAUAGUUCAUCACGAAGCUCAUGUAGCUUGGUGGCAGUGAUUGAAGAAUUCUGUCAAUGACACUAUCAUCCGAAAGAUUAACUCCCAGUUGAAUCAAGUGAUUGUUAUACCCAAACAUUUUGAGUAUAUGCUCAUUGACAGAACUAUUCUCUUCCAUCUUGUAGUUGUAGAACUUAUUGGAUACUUCAUAUCUCUCAAUCCGGGCAUUUGCUUGAAAUAUUAACUUCAACUCCUGGAACAUCUCAUAUGCUCCAUGACGUUCAAAACGUCGUUGAAGUCCCGGUUCUAAGCCGUAAAGCAUGGCACACUGAACUAUCGAGUAGUCAUCAGCUUUGCUCUGCCAGACGUUCAUAACAUCUGGUGUUGCUCCUGCAGCGGGUUUGGCACCUAGUGGUGCUUCCAGGACGUAAUUCUUCUGUGCAGCAAUGUGGAUAAUCCUCAAGUUACGGACACAGUCCUUGUAAUUGCUACCAUCAUCUUUCAACUUUGCUUUCUCAAGGAACGCAUUAAAAUUCAACGGAACAACAGCAGGGGCCAUCUAUCUACAACAACAUAGACAUGCAAAAUACUAUCAGGUACUAAGUUCAUGAUAAAUUAAAGUUCAAUUAAUCAUAUUACUUAAGAACUCCCACUUAGACAGACAUCCAUCUAACCAUCUAAGUGAUCACGUGAUCCAUAUCAACUAAACCAUGUCCGAUCAUCACGUGAAAUGGAGUAUUUUUCAAUGGUGAACAUCACUAUGUUGAUCAUAUCUACUAUUUGAUUCACGCUCGACCUUUCAGUCUUAGUGUUCCGAGGCCAUAUCUGCAUAUGCUAGGCUCGUCAAGUUUAACCCGAGUAUUCUACGUGUGCAAAACUGGCUUGCACCCGUUGUAUGUGAACGUACAGCUUAUCACACCCGAUCAUCACGUGGUGUCUCAGCACGACUAACUUUCACAACGGUGCAUACUCAGGGAGAACACUUAUACCUUGAAAUUUAGUGAGAGAUCAUCUUAUAAUGCUACCGUCGAUCUAAGCAAAAUAAGAUGCAUAAAAGAUAAACAUCACAUUCAAUCAAUAUAAGUGAUAUGAUAUGGCCAUCAUCAUCUUGUGCCUGUGAUCUCCAUCUCCAAAGCAUCGUCAUGAUCACCAUCGUCACCAGCUUGACACCUUGAUCUCCAUCGAAGCAUCAUUGUCGUCAUGCCAACUAUUGCCUCCACGACUAUCGCUACCGCUUAGUGAUAAAGUAAAGCAAUUACAUGGCGAUUGCAUUUCAUACAAUAAAGAGACAACCAUAUGGCUCCUGCAAGUUGCCGAUAACUGCCUUACAAAACAUGAUCAUCUCAUACAAUAAAAUUUAGCAUCAUGUCUUGACCAUAUCACAUCACAACAUGCCCUGCAAAAACAAGUUAGACGUCCUCUACUUUGUUGUUGCAAGUUUUACGUGGCUACUACGGGCUUAGAAAGAACCGUUCUUACCUAUGCAUCAAAAAACCACAACGCGGUAUAGUGAUUGCUUUUUGAUCUUCAGAAAUAACCUUGUUCAUUGAAUCCGAUUCAACUAAAGUUGGAGAAACAGAUACCCACUAGCCACCUGUGUGCAAAGCACGUCGGUAGAACCAGUCUCGCGUAAGCGUACGCGUAAUGUCGGUCUGGUCUGCUUCAUCCAACAAUGUCGCUGAAUCAAGAAUCAACUAGUGACGGCAAGCAAUAUGUAUAUACCCACACCCACAACUCCUUUGUGUUCUACUCGUGCAUAUAACAUCUAUGCAUAAACCUGGCUCGGAUGCCACUGUUGGGGAACGUAGUAAUUUCAAAAAAAUUCCUACGCACACGCAAGAUCAUGGUGAUGCAUAGCAACGUGUGGGGAGAGUGUUGUCCAUGUACCCUCGUAGACCAUAAGCGGAAGUGUUAUGAGAACGCGGUUGAUGUAGUCGUACGUCUUCAUGAUCCGACCGAUCCAAGUAUCGAACAUACGGCACCUCCGAGUUCAGCACACGUUUAGCUCGGUGACGUCCCACGAACUCCGAUCCAGGAGAGCUUCGAGGGAGAGUUUCGUCAGCACGACGGCAUGAUGACGGUGAUGAUGAUGCUACCGACGCAGGGCUUCGCCUAAGCACCGCUACGAUAUGACCGAGGUGGAUUAUGGUGGAGGGGGCACCGCAAACGGCUAAAAGAUCAACUGAUCAACUUGUGUGUCUUGGGGUGCCCCCUGCCCCCGUAUAUAAAGGAGUGGAGGAGGGGGAGAGGCCGGCCCUCCUAGGCGCGCCCCAAGGGGAGUCCUACUCCCAUCGGGAGUAGGACUCCAAUCCUUCCAAGAGUAGGAGUAGGAGAGAAGGAAGGAGAAGGGAGGGGAAAGGAAAGGGGGGCGCCGCCCCCCUCCUUGUCCAAUUCGGACUAGAGGGAGAGGGGGCGCGCGGCCUGCCCUGGCCGCCCCUCCUCUUCUCCACUAAGGCCCAAUAGGCCCAUUACACUCCCCGGGGGGUUCCGGCAACCCCCGGUACUCCGGUAUUUGUCCGAACUUGCCCGGAACCCUUCCGAAGUCCAAACAUAGUCAUACAAUAUAUCGAUCUUUAUGUCUCAACCAUUUCGAGACUCCUCGUCAUGUUUGUGAUCAUAUCCGGGACUCUGAACUACCUUCGGUACAUCAAAACACAUAAACUCAUAUUACCGAUCGUCACCGAACUUUAAGUGUGCGGACCCUACGGGUUCGAGAACUAUGUAGACAUGACCUAGACUCGUCUCCAGUCAAUAACCAAUAGCGAAACCUAGAUGCUCAUAUUGGCUCCUACAUAUUCUAAAGAUCUUUAUCGGUCAAGCCGUAUAACAACAUACGUUGUUCCCUUUGUCAUCGGUAUGUUACUUUCCCGAGAUUCGAUCGCCGGUAUCCCCAUACCUAGUUCAAUCUCGUUACCGGCAAGUCUCUUUACUCGUUCCGUAAUGCAUAAUCCCACAACUAACUCAUUAGUCACAAUACUUGCAAGGCUUAUAGUGAUGUGCAUUACCGAGAGGGCCCAGAGAUACCUCUCUGACAAUCGGAGUGACAAAUCCUAAUCUCGAUCUAUGUCAACUCAACAAGCACCAUCGGAGACACCUGUAGAGCACCUUUAUAAUCACCCAGUUACAUUGUGACGUUUGGUAGCACUCAAAGCGUUCCUCCGGUACUCAGGAGUUGCAUAAUCUCAUAGUCAUAGGAACAUGUAUAAGUCAUGAAGAAAGCAAUAGCAACAAACUAAACGAUCAUCGUGCUAAGCUAACGGGUGGGUCAAGUCAAUCACAUCAGUCUCUAAUGAUGUGAUCCUAUUAAUCAAAUGACAAAUCAUGUCUAUGGUUAGGAAACAUAACCAUCAUUGAUUCAACGAGCUAGUCAAGUAGAGGCAAACUAGUGACACUCUGUUUGUCUAUGUAUUCACACAUGUACUAAGUUUCCGAUUAAUACAAUUCUAGCAUGAAUAAUAAACAUUUAUCAUGAUAUAAGGAAAUAUAAAUAACAACUUUAUUAUUGCCUCUAGGGCAUAUUUCCUUCAAAUUGAUCAUGGAGGGCUUAUAAAUCAUCCUUGCUGCCUUCCGAUGAUGCAUGAGUAGUUUACCGCAGACCGACGGGUCCAUAGCUAGUAGCUAAUUGGCUUCGUCUCUCUCUUCGAUCUUCAAUACAAUGUUCUCCUCGAUGUUCUUGGAGUUCUAUUCGAUGUAAUCUUGUUUUGCGGUGUGUUUGUUGGGAUCCGAUGAAUUGUGGGUUUAUGAUAUGAAUAUUUAUGAGAAGUAAUGGAGUCUUUUCUAAACUUUACUAUGCAUGAUUGUUAUAACUUUGUAUUUCUCUCUGAUCUAUCCGUUUGGUUUGGCCAAUUAAAUUAAUUUAUCUUCAGUGGGAGAGGUGCUUUGUAAUGGGUCCAAUCUUGCGGUGCUCCAUCCCAGUGACAAAGUAGGGGACAAGACACGUAUUUGUAUUGUUGCCAUUAAGGGUAAAACGACGGAGUUUAUUCAUACUACUUGGAUUUACUUUGUCUACAUCAUGUCAUCUUGCUUAAGGUGUUAUACUAUUUUUAUUAACUUAAUACCAUAGAUGCAUGCUGGAUAAGGUCGAUGGGUGGAGUAGUAGUAGAUGCAUGCAAGAGUCAGUCUACUUGUCUCAGACAUGAUGCCUAUAUACAUGAUCAUUGCCUUGAAUAUCGUCAUAACUAUGUGCUUUUUUAUCAAUUGCCCAACAAUAAUUUGUUCACCCACGUAUGCUAUGUGUUCGAGAGAGAAACCUCUAGUGAAGACUAUGGCCCCCAGAUCUACCUUUAUCAUACUCCCUCCGUCUAGAAAUACAUGUCGGAGAAAUGAAUAAAAAUGGAUAUAUCUAGAACUAAAAUACGUCUAGAUACAUCCAUUUCUUCGACAAGUAUUUUCAGACAGAGGGAGUAUAUAAAAACACAAAAAUACUUUACUACAAUUUUAUUUCUUUUAUUUUAUUUUGAAAUUUGUACCGCUACAAGAUUUGAUCCUUGCAAAUAGACGCCAAAGGGAUUGACAACCAUCUUGGUCACGUUGGGUGCAAGUAUUUUUUUUGUGUGUGCAGGUGUUGUUCAUGAGGUUUUGUGUGAUUCUCCUACUGGAUUGAUAACCUUGGUUUCAACUGAGGGAAAUACUUAUCUCUACUGUACUACAUCUCCUCUCCUCUUCGAGGAAAUCCCAACGCAGCUCACAAGUAGCAGUGAUUCAAUCACAUUAGUGAAUACCAGACUGUGGGUUGAAACAUGAGUGUUAUGUUGAGAAACAUGGAAUGUGGGGUAAAGCGGGCUUGUAGCUGGUUAGUCGAUAAGGAGUUAUACCAAUUCUUUCCACGAUGGUCAAUGGUCUAAAGAACUUCCUGGGGAGAUUUGGAAAAACGUUUGUUGACCACAUAAGUCUCAGCAUGGGGUUGAAGUUUCAGAUAUAGAGAUUCUCCCACAACAAACUCUCUGAAUGUUCUAGUCUUAUCAACAUCAUAUUUCAACAAACUCUUUUGCAGCCAAUUAUCCAACUCAACAUGUGCAUCAUGGAGGGGUUGUGGCAGUUGCCCCAAAAUGGGCUCAUGCCCAUAGAUGGUCUUCAAAGGAGUACACCCCAGUGAAGAAUCUCUACUCCUAAUGGACGACUUGCUUGAAUAGUCCCCCCCAUUUUUAACCGGUUUUUUUUCAACCGGUUUUUUUUCGACCGGUUUUUCUUCGUCCCACCUCCCACCACCCCCCUCCCACCGGUUUUUCUCUUUUUCGUCUGGCCGACAAUACCCAACGUAUUUAUGGUAAUCAAUCACAAUUAAUCCACGUAUGGUAAGGCUAUAAACUUAGAAAUCUCAAAUAUGAUAAUUAUAGUAAUAAAUCAAUCCAUGUAUGGUAAGGCUAUAACUAAGAAAAUUUCGAAUAUGGUAAUUAUCACCAGAAUCAAAGCUUUCCAAAAAAGUUCUUCUUGCCAUACCCUAAUCGUGACCUCCUCAUCCUGAGGCAUUAUUUCCAUCUAUUUCUCAGCUGAAUCAGAACUUUCCAAAACUUUGUCUGACUAAAUCACAAUUUUCCUUCCUUCCCUAUCAUCUCAAUCGAAUCAUGAGCUAUAGGUAAGUCAUUUCGUUCUCCACCUCGCACGGGUUGUACUGAUUUUUAUCAUGGUUUGGCCCCCUGCCGUACAAGCCGCUCGAUUCCUCCUCCCUCGCUCAAUUCCUCCACCCUAUCUUCUUCUUCAUGGUGAGCGACCCAGGCAGCGAUGCAUGCCCGUUAUGCAUCAGCGAGGAGGACCAGGAAACGUUGAUUGCCAGCCCCGCACUCGUCAAGUGAACCCGUUCACCGUCAGGUCAUGCUGGUGUGUUACGGGUGUAGGUGCACCUUACCUUAGCCAUGGAGGUUUGCCGGUGGACAACGGAGGCCUCGCCAUGGACACCAGUAUCCCUCUCCUCUUCCUGCGCCCUACCUCUCCUUCCUCAGUCUCUACCUCUCUCUCUCUUUUUCUCUGUUCUGGGAGAUCUGCAGCCGACACCGCAGGCCCUGCCCGUUCGCUGCCGGUCACCUCGCCUCGUUGUUCGAUCUCACCGCUGGAUAUGCACAACUCCGCCGCCCUGUGCCGUCCUCGUCGGGCACCAUCAUGGCGGCACGAACACUGUAUGCAGUGGCUACAAUUGGCGGUGGAUUCAACAGCGCGGUGGGCACUAGCGAGUAGCGACCCAGCGGGCAGCGGCUGUGCUGGCCGCUGUCUGCCGCCAAGGUGUAACGGCUCGGGCCCAGACUCCGAGUUCGUCAUGGCGCUCCGCGCGACUUCCCUUGCGCCGGCUGACUCAUGCAUGCAUCUACAAUCUAACUAGCUAAUUCCUCCCUUUGACUGCUAUUUUCUCUGGUUGUACUGUUCCACAACUUAGGGAUCAUCUACACAAUCCAUCGUCUCAUGCAUUCACAAUCUAAUUAAUUUGUCUACUGACUGCAGUUUAUGAAUUGCUCCACAGAUCAUUUAUAGAGAUGAUUUCAGACUUAGAAGUGUUGAGGUCAUGAUGCUCUAAAUAGUUUUGAAGUUGUAUUCACGACAUCAUGAUGCUCUAAAUGAAAUGAAAAUUUGAUGGAUUCAAGAAGAAAAAGGUCAGGUAUGUUUAGUAUGCACUACAGUAGAAAUUUCACUUGUGGUCAUCUUGGGAUACUUGUACAUGCUUGGUGUUACAAUAAUUCUACUAAUUAAUUCCAUGAAAGUGCUGAAAUUUGCUCAGUGAACAAGAAACCCACUGGGUAACAUAUUUGGACGCCAUACAAGUGGAUCUGCAUUUUUUCAUUAAGGUGUUGUCUCAUCUUUUAAUUUGCAUCGUCGCUCUUGAAUAAUUAGUUUUCAUAGAGAUUUAUCUUUGAUCUGAACAUUUUGAACUUUCUUUUUGCAUAACCUUGAUAAAAGGAUUGACAACAAAUAAUCAGAGAAGACUAGCCAACUAGAUGAGGAGAGGAAAGAAGUGAAAAGAGACAAAAUACAGUAUGAUAUAUCAAUUUAGAAGUCGUAGCAAUGCACAUCUUUCUAAAUAUAUAUCUUUAUGUGAUUGGUCACAAGUUGUAGUUGGUAGUGGUAGUAGUAUAUAUUCACUAUAAUUGUUUGUACGAAAUCACAUUAAAAAAAUCACACAUAAAUCACAACAAUUGCGUGCAAAAACACAUAAUCUUACCAUAUUUCAUAGGGUGCUAUCAUUUUUCAUGUUUGUAGUUGUAUGAGAAUAUUAAAUGUAUUAUUAACAUGAUUAUUAAAUGUAUGAGAAUAUUAACAUGAUUAAUAUUGAAAUCUUAAAGUUAACAUGAUUAAUAUUGAACUCUUACCAUAUUUUCAUAUGUCACUUGAUAUGUAUGAGAAUAUUAAAUAUAUUAUUAACAUGAUUAAUAUUGAAUUCUUAAAGUUAAUGUGGCCCCGUUGCAACGCACGGGCGUUCUUCUAGUAAAAGGUAAUGCUCAUGUUUUGGUUGUUGAAAAAUCUAACACCGUUGAACAAAGUUAUCAAAAAAUUAAUUACAGUUUUAAUCCCUACCCACUGAAAUAGUUUAUGAAUUCUUCCGUAAGUUGCUUGGCUUCCAUAAAAUGCCCCCCUCCCCCACUUGAGAUGAAUGUAAUGCUUCAAUUGUUUUUGUCUGAAGGCCGGGAUUUACAUCCACCAAAAUCCUACUUAGAUUUUUCAGAAAGCCACUUUCCAAAGAAUAUUCAGACUCUUCAUCACGGUUCAUUGCAAGUUUAUGAAGCUACUGACGAGAAUGAAUGUCAAUCUCAUAAGAGUUCAUAAUUUCUUCUAUCCAAACUGGUUGAGUUGAAGAAGCUGUUGGUAAAGCAAACACAUGUCUCACUCUAGAAAGUGCAUAUGUUGCCUUAAUUUUAGAAUCUUUUUUAUACUGAAAAGUGAACUAGAAGCCCACUAAUUUUCGCAUGGCCUUUCUUUUUAAAUUAGUAAUUAAUUCUUGGUUGCCCAGCUAACAAAGGAUUUUGUGACAUGUUUUUAUAACAAAAGGACCUCUAAUGCAUAUCCACUACCAUAAUAAUGGCCAUAUACUCCUUUUCAUAAAUGCUCACUUUUUGAUUAGAUGGAUGACCUUCUUGGAUGAGCACUGCCCCAACGCCAGUAUCACAGGCAUUUGUUUCAAUACAAUUUUUUGCUAAAGUCGGAGAGGACCAUUACUAGAGUUGUUUCAAUGGCUUGUUUCAAUUGCUCGAAAGCUAUUUGAGCUAUAGGAUACCAGAUAAAGGCUUUCUUCUUCAAAAGUUGUGUCGGUGGUUUAGCAAUAAUUCCAUAGAUUUGCACAAGUUUCCUAUAAUAUCUCGCCAGACCCGAAAAUGCCCUGAGCUCGGUAACUGGAGUUGGAACCGACCAUUUGAGCAUGAAAUCGGUUUUUGUAGGAUUAGUAGCAACUCACUUAUAUGACAUGAUAUGACCCAAAUAUUCCAAUUGCUGAUGAGCAAAAGAGCAUUUGUGAGCUUAGCAGAUUCUUUCUAAAAAUAGCAAACACAUACUAUAGAUGUUGCUGGUGGGCCUGAAGAACCUUGUUAUAAAUAGGCCCGUCGACGAGGCAGGCCAAAGUGACCAAUCGCACAGGGCCCCCAAAUCACUGGAUACUGUGUAGGCUUUAUCAGAAAACAAAAAACCAGCAGCGAAACAGCCAUCCUGCACGUAUGGAUCGCUGCCAGCCUGUAGCCUACUCACUUCGCCCGUUCGCCGUUUCGCUGCUCCUCGAUCGCGUGCCCGCCUUGCCCUACUGCGUCGCUGCCUAAUGAGCGAUUGAUCAACUGAUAAUUAAUCAACUGUAGCACUCUUCGUUAUACUUUAGAUAGAUUAAUAAUUAAUAAAUGACUUUAUGCUCCCAAGGUUCGUACUUCCCAUGAAUUGGUAGAACAGUUUUAUGAAGAUAGGUGUGCAUACAUCAUUUUUUUUUAGCACAUGAGUCUAGUUUAUUAAUUUGGCGCUACCUUUCCUCUUUUCAAACUCAUGUUUGAUCUAUUUCUAAAUAUUGUAUGAAGUAACCCAUAUUUGUAUGAAAUUAACACAUAUUGGAAGUUAUACAAUAAAAUGGAUGCAAGAUUUGAUUAUAUUAGUUCUUUACUUAUAGGAUUUUUUUGAAAAAAAUCAAGAGUCCCAUUUAACAUUUCGCACCGGGCCCCGAAAUCCUGGAGGUGGCCCUGGUUAUAAACCAAUAUAUCAUCCACAAAAAUCAAUAUAGAUUCUUUUUAUUUUCCCUACAAAUACUGCAUUCAUCAGGCACUGAAAUAUUGCAGGUGCAUUGGUAAGUCCAAAAGGCAUGACCCUGAGUUGAUAUUGCCCUGAUGUGUUUUGAAAGCAGUUUUGUUUUCAUCCGUUUCCACCAUCCUUAUCUGAUGAUAACCUGCUCUAAGAUCCAACUUCGAGAACCACUUUGUACCAACUAGUUCAUCCAAAAGUUCAUCAACUACCGGCAUAGGAAAUUUGCUUUUCAUAGUCACUGCAAUAAGCCUUUUGUAAUCUACACAAAUCAUCCAUGUCCCAUGCUUCUUUUUAACCAACACAACAGGUAAUGCAUAAGGAGACAUGCUAGGUUUGACAAUGCAUGCUGCAAUCAUUUCAGCUACUUGUCUCUCAAUCUCAUCAUUCUAAAGAGGUGAGUACCUAUAAAGUUUGGAACUAACUGGUGGGAAGUAACGAUAUAGCAUGGUAAAACUCUCUAUGAGGUGCCAGUCAUUUUGGUUCUUGGAAUAUAUGCUGAAAUUGCUUAAGAGUUUUCUGAAUACAUUCCGGUACUGAAGAAUUUUCAGUUUCAGAACUAGGAGACAGAACAGUUUUAGCGCAAAUGACAUUCCCUUUAUGGAAUUUAGCAACUUGCUUUGAAGUUAACUCUUGUAAUUUAGUAGCUGAGGUUUCCUGCAAACCUUGCAGAAUGACAAUUUCUCCUUGCAUCCAACCUGAAUCCAUUUUCCUCCCGGUGAAAAACCAUGGGACCCCAUUGAGAAAGCCAGUCCAUCCGGCCCCAGUAUAGCAUCAUAACCUCCUAAGCUGAGAAUGUUCAUGUCAGUAGCAAAAGUAUGCCCCUGAAAUCCACCACUCUAAUGCAUAAAUUGUUGUUUACACUAAAGAAAAUCCCCAUUGGCAACUUACACUGACAUGGGCCUUAGUAACUGUCCGGUGGUGCAUUGCAACUUAUCCGCAAGCUGCUGAUGAAGGAAUGUAUGAGAACUCCCUGCGUCCACCAACAGUAACAUCUCAUGGUUUCCCAGCAGAGCCCUCAACCCGGUGGUUUUGGUGUUGGUAGUUCCUGACGGAGCAUUGACACAUAAAUAUGAUGCAACUUGUUCUGCCAACUCAAUUGCUUUAGCCUGAACAUUUUGCUUGGCCACAGGAACACGGCGAGGAGUGAACUUGUCACCAUAGCUAUAACAGAGCCCAAUUUGUGUUAUGUAGCCUCCCAGAUGCCUUGCUUUCCAUAAAUCUCCAGCAGAUAACUGAUGUUUAUUCUAGGGUUCUUCUCUUGGUACAGUGCCCUUGGCAGAUCCUGGCCUCCUUGCCUUGGUAGACUGAGAUUUCACUCUGUCCAACAUAACUUCCCGCACAAGAGCAUUUCCCACUCCAUCUCGUCUAGAUCCAACAUAACUUCACUACUGUUUGCUGUGUUCCUUGUCUGAACAUGUUAGGUCCCUUGGUUUGGAUCCAUUCAUUCCUUGUCGCCGUGUCAGGUCGACAUCCACAGGCCCCAUGCAUCUCAUUCUCACUCACCUUAUUAAUCAACACCAACUGCUUCUUCAGUUCGUCUCCCCAGUCUGAAUCCCUCCGUGUGGACUGGACCCAUGCAUGCACAUUUCUUCAGCCCAAAGCUUGCAUCGGGACCAGAUCGAGACCCAUCGGUGGACCGCCGAUGCACGCAGCAGCAUUAAGUCGCACAGCAUGCAGUUUUGAUGCUGAAAACCACAAGGGGUUUAUUUCAUCUCUUCCUUCAUCCCAAGAGAGCAGCAAGGACCAUUCCGUACCAACCGUCCUCCCCCUUCUCCUCCGGGUUCAUUCAUUCCGCCGGUUCCGACCCGGCUUGUGCACGGGUCUGUUGGAGCGCCAUCGUUAUUGACGAACAGCAAUGCCAGCGCGAUGAAUGUUCAGGGAAUUCGGGUGUGCUGAAAACCAAGUGAGAAUUGGAGGUGCAAGGUGCAAGCACAAGCACAUACGACAGACGGAAACACAACAGCAGAGGUGACGGUGCCGUUCAACACAUUUGUUUCUCGCCAACUCGACAAGUUUGCUAGAUAGGGCAGCAUCAUGAUCCAUGCACAACAAUGGAUGUUCAGAACAAGAACAGCAAGAACAAGAACAACAAUAGGGUACCAUUACCAACCCUCCUCCCUCAGUUUGCUAUGAAGAGCAGCAUUCACAAUUCAGGAAGAGCAAAUGUCACAAUACAUGUUCAGCAAGAGCAAUGUCACAAUUCAGUGUGCCGAAAAAACGGAUGUGAAGUAGCAGUACAACACACAAACAUAUACUCUAACAGACCACACAUCGCCAACUCGAUGACAAGUUUGUUAGACAGAGCAGCAUCAUGAUUCAUCAAGAACAAGAGAUGUUCAGGUCAUUUGAACACGCUAAAAAAAUGCAGCUACGUAAAAAAUAGCAGAGGUAAACCAAAAUAGAUGCUCAACAGAUUAAUUAAUCCUUGUUUCAAUUUGCACCGGACAAGUCAGAUAAAAGCCAUCCAGAUCCAGGAGCACUAGUAGUAUCUUACAGCGGUAGUAGCAGUACCAUUUUAACCAGCCAGCCCAUCUUCCAGGCAUACACACACACACACACACACACACACACACACACACACUUGUUGCGGUAAUCAUCCUAGCGGUUUUUCAGUUGACAACAACAACAAAACAGCCAGCAUCAUUCUCAUCAUCUGGCACAAAAGCACAACACACACAGACACACUCAGGGGACUAUAGGACGCCGAGCGACCAACGAAUCAAUCAGCAACGCUUCUCGCCUGCUGCUCCGGGGGCGUUUCUUGACAGCGGCCGAGAGGCAUGCAGGGGGAGGUUGACAGCGGAAUGGCGAACUUUUCAACAUAUAUGUAGGCAGCCGUCGUCAAAAAAGAAGGGCAAAGGGAAAAGAAAAACUGUAACCGUGAUCCAUGUUCCGGCAGGUAGCUUCUUUUUUAGCUUCUAGUAAGUAUAUCUUGGGGGUGGUGUUCUCUUUUCUGUUGUUGUCGUCCUUGUCGAGGCGCUGUGCUGUGCUAGCAGGAAGAGCCCUUGUGGCACGACAGGGCGCCCGCCCCAGAGGUGAUGGUGGCGACCAUGGAUGAGGACUUGGCACCGAGGCUGGAAGCGCGCGAGUAGCUGGCUGAGGCGCCUGCCCCCGAUGGGGUGAAGAAGGCGCCGUUCAGCAGCAUAUCACCCUCUGAUCUCCAGUUCCAGGCCUUCCAGGUGGUCUGAGCGGUCUCGACUCUCUUUGUC
rnacentral:lncRNA from 1 species